UACGUAGGGGGCAAGCGUUAAUCGGAAUUACUGGGCGUAAAGCGCGCGUAGGCGGCUUUGCAAGCCGGAUGUGAAAUCCCCGGGCUUAACCUGGGAACUGCAUUCGGGACUGCAUUGCUAGAGUAUGGGAGAGGGAAGUGGAACUUCAGGUGUAGCGGUGAAAUGCGUAGAUAUCUGAAGGAACAUCAGUGGCGAAAGCGACUUCCUGGACCAAUACUGACGCUCAUGUGCGAAAGCGUGGGGAGCAAACAGG
rnacentral:rRNA from 1 species